AAAUGACGGGUUUAGAAAUAGACUUUUCUUCCGACAUUUUUCAAGGUGCUGCAUGGUUGUCGUCAGCUCGUGCCGUGAGGUGUUAGGUUAAGUCCUGCAACGAGCGCAACCCCUGUCACUAGUUGCCAUCAUUAAGUUGGGGACUCUAGUGAGACUGCCUACGCAAGUAGAGAGGAAGGUGGGGAUGACGUUAAAUCAUCACGGCCCUUACGCCUUGGGCCACACACGUAAUACAAUGGCCGGUACAGAGGGCAGCUACACAGCGAUGUGAUGCAAAUCUCGAAAGCCGGUCUCAGUUCGGAUUGGAGUCUGCAACUCGACUCUAUGAAGCUGGAAUCGCUAGUAAUCGCGCAUCAACCAUGGCGCGGUGAAUACGUUCCCGGGCCUUGUACACACCGCCCGUCAAGCCAUGGAAGUCUGGGGUACCUGAAGUCGGUGACCGUAACAGGAGCUGCCUAGGGUAAAACA
rnacentral:rRNA from 1 species